rnacentral:lncRNA from 1 species
UUGCAGAGACUGCUAGUUCUUCCCAGUAUUUAACCCACUUUCUAUAAAGAAUUUUUCCUGGACAGAGAGUACAUUUCCAGCCCUCUUUUCAGUAUAACUUAGCAAACUGACUAAAUUUUGGCAAGCGGAUUUGUACAGAGGUGAAAGGUGUAAUGUUUACCUUUGUUUACAAUGGAAUGUAUGUGGCUUCUUCUUGCUUCUUCCCCUCUUCCUGAUGGAUUGUAACUAUGAGGGAUAGAGCUAGAAGAAACAUCUUCAACUAAUGGUGGAAAUCCAGUAUUAUGAAUGUUUGAGCAACAAUUAGAAGAAGCUGAAAUCUCUGACACUGUGCAGCAGUAUUUGCCAUGAACUGAUUAUACCUGGACAAUUAUAUAAGGGAGAAAUAAGCUGCUAUCUUCUUUAAAAUACUAUUGUUAUUUUAUCUUAUUAAGCUUGUUUCUUUACUAAUAAAACUUACAUAGUUUGGGGAUAGAUAAGCCUGUAUUGAACCUAUGCCAUCUGUAUUGCUUCUACUGUGUAGAACUUGAAAAGAGGGAAUAGCCCCUUGAGAAUCUAGAGCUCAAGACAUGAAGGACCAUCAGCAGGUGUGUAACUCUCAGGAUAAAAAGCCAUGCUUAUUCAAUUCAGUAUUAAGUUAUCAUCCAUGAGUGAAAGAGCUUUGCUUGAGCUAAUGGCACAUACGGAAAAACUAUACACUAUUUAAUGAUAAUUAUAUAAUACAAGGAAGAAUGUCAGAUUUUGAACAAUGAGCUGAUUGGUAUUUGUGCAUGUAUAGGCAUUGAGUAAGAAAAGAAAUAGCAAUUUUAUAAUGUGUGAAAUCGUUUUCUCUUAUGAUCAUUCUACUCCAAGAAUGAAGCUUUUUGAAGAGUAAUCCAGUAAUAUUUGAUCCAAUAAAGAUUCCAAGUGAUGACAUGAUGUGGAAUGAAAAAGCCUCAUUGUCUUCCUGAUAUUAACUUUAGCAAAAGGUAGUUGUGAUUCUUUCACUUGUUAACUGAAGUCUCUUAGAAACCUAUUUGCACUUCUCACCUCAAACAUCUCUUCACCAACAAUGAAAUAG